CGUAACAAGGUUUCCGUAGGUGAACCUGCGGCUGGAUCAUU
rnacentral:rRNA from 1 species